UCACAUCAGGUGUCUCUGUGAACCUCCUCAAAGAGUUGAGGGACACGAGAGAUUGGAAAUGGAGUUAACAGUGACUGAGCCCAGCCAAUAUUCAACAUGGCGGCAGAGACAACCUGAGAAUGAGGCUUCUCUAAACAGCAGGUUCUCCCCCACGGUCGGGCUGUACGGGAAGCAGCUUUGCUCCCGGCUCUGUUUCCUCGCUCACUCUGGAAGCCAGAUGCCAGCUGUGGGCAGCUGUGAGGAAGACAUCAGGGUGAGGCAGUAGGAAUUUUGCCAGCAGCCUAAGAGUGGCCUCUGCUUGGUGAGCCUGCAAUCUGUCAUCAGCUUGACAAACCUCCCCAGUGACCUGGACCACGACAGCUCUGACUCUCGAUCCCCAGCUGCCAGAGAUGGUAUCUGUCCUAAGCCGAUGAAUGGGAGGAGGCAAAUUUUGUUACAUAGCCACAGAUAACAAAUACGUGUAAAUCUAAGGGUUUUUGGUGGAAGACUACUUGGCAGUUUUACUGAGGAAGCCAGGCUAGAGGUGCGGACAGAAGGGGAGCCCCCUCCAGAGGCCCAGCGUUCGGAGGGGAAAGCACGGCCAUACAACCAGCAGGUGGAGUGAUAGUUACCUUCAACUGCCGACUUGAUACAACCUUACCUGGGAAGAGUCUCAAUCUGGGAUUGUCUGGAUCAGGCUUGCCCGUGAGCAUAACUGGGAAAUUGUCAUAAUUAAAUUAACUGAUGUGGGAGUGGCACCAUUCCCUAGGCAUGAAGUCCUGACUGAGAGCUGCGAAAUCUCGCUGAGCACGGCAAAGAAGUGAGAAUGCAUGCAGUAAUUUCUCUC
rnacentral:lncRNA from 1 species